rnacentral:rRNA from 1 species
UACAGAGGGGGCAAGCGUUGUUCGGAAUUACUGGGCGUAAAGGGCGCGUAGGCGGUCAGCACAAGUCAGUUGUGAAAUCUCCGGGCUUAACUCGGAAAGGUCAACUGAUACUGUGCGACUAGAGUGCAGAAGGGGCAACUGGAAUUCUCGGUGUAGCGGUGAAAUGCGUAGAUAUCGAGAGGAACACCGGUGGCGAAGGCGGGUCUCUGGGCCGAUACUGACGCUGAGGAGCGAAAGCGUGGGGAGCGAACAGG